rnacentral:rRNA from 1 species
GUCUCUUUGUAUUAUAGUAAAGUAAGUAUAAAGAGUCGGACCUGCCCGGUGACUAUAUUGUUAAACGGCCGCGGUACCCUAACCGUGCAAAGGUAGCAUAAUCAUUUGCCUUUUAAUUGGAGGCUGGUAUGAAUGGUUUGACGAGAGCUAAGCUGUCUCUUUUGAAAUAUAUAUAAAUUAACUUUUAGGUGAAGAGGCCUAAAUUUGUGUAAGGGACAAGAAGACCCUGUUGAGCUUUAGUGAAGUUAUAAAUAUUUAAUGUUGAUAAAACGUUAGUAUAUACUGGGUAUAAUUAUAAUUUGUAACUAAUCUUUAGUUGGGGCGACUGAGGAACAUGAAAAGCUUCCUUAUAAAAGAUUGAUCGAUUUUAGAGUAUAUCGUUUUAAUGCUGACAUGUUAUUUUGAUCCAAAAUUUUUUGAUUAAAGGAAAAAGUUACCACAGGGA